UACAGAGGGUGCAAGCGUUAAUCGGAAUUACUGGGCGUAAAGCGUGCGUAGACGGUUAUUUAAGUCAGGUGUGAAAGCCCCGGGCUCAACCUGGGAAUUGCAUUUGAGACUGAAUAGCUAGGGUGCGGAAGAGGGAAGCGGAAUUUCCGGUGUAGCGGUGAAAUGCGUAGAUAUCGGAAGGAACACCAAUUGCGAAGGCAGCUCGCUGGGACGUUACUGACGCUGAGACGCGAAAGCGUGGGGAGCAAACAGG
rnacentral:rRNA from 1 species